ACGUAGGGAGCAAGCGUUGUUCGGAUUUACUGGGCGUAAAGGGCGCGUAGGCGGCAAAUCAAGUCAGCUGUGAAAUCUCUGAGCUUAACUCAGAACGGUCAACUGAUACUGUGCGGCUAGAGUGCGGAAGGGGCAACUGGAAUUCUUGGUGUAGCGGUGAAAUGCGUAGAUAUCAAGAGGAACACCUGCGGCGAAGGCGGGUUGCUGGGCCGACACUGACGCUGAGGCGCGAAAGCCAGGGGAGCGAACGGGA
rnacentral:rRNA from 1 species